UACGUAGGGGGCUAGCGUUGUCCGGAUUUAUUGGGCGUAAAGAGCGUGUAGGCGGCCAGGUAGGUCUGCUGUGAAAACUCGAGGCUCAACCUCGAGACGUCGGCGGAAACCAUCUGGCUAGAGUCCGGAAGAGGAGAGUGGAAUUCCUGGUGUAGCGGUGAAAUGCGCAGAUAUCAGGAGGAACACCAGUGGCGAAGGCAGCUCGCUGGGACGUUACUGACGCUGAGGCGCGAAAGCGUGGGGAGCGAACAGG
rnacentral:rRNA from 1 species